rnacentral:lncRNA from 1 species
AGCGCAAUGGUUCCUUUCACCCCAGACAAAGACCUUUUCUAGAUCUGCAAAAAUAUGCAUUUCAAUAGCACUUGCUCCUCGCUCCAAUAGUAGACCCUGCUAUCUUCCUGCACUCCCGCAAGCACUUCUUCCCUUUCUUCCUCUUGGACACAAUGUAGCUGUUCUAUGAAGGGACUUCAGACAACUAGGAAAGAAAAGCAGGCACCAGAUCACAAACAAGACUGGUCUUUCUCCCAUCAGAAGGCUGGAAGAUGGCUCCAAUGCUGUAGGAGUUUUAUUCCUGAAAUUCAGACCAAACUCUUGUCAAUGUCCCAUGCUGCUGUGCUCCUGUGAUGUAAAAGCCUUGGGGAGGCAAAGAGCAGGAACUGGUUGCUGAGGAUGGUUUGGCUCUUCUGUGAAGCCACUGCCGUCAGGUCAUGCGGUGUUGGUCAAGAAAGCCUGUCAU